rnacentral:rRNA from 1 species
UACGGAGGGGGCUAGUGUUGUUCGGAAUUACUGGGCGUAAAGGGCGCGUAGGCGGCCAUCUAAGUCAGACGUGAAAUCCCCCGGCUUAACCUGGGAACUGCGUCUGAUACUGGAAGGCUCGAGUUUGGGAGAGGGAUGUGGAAUUCCAGGUGUAGCGGUGAAAUGCGUAGAUAUCUGGAGGAACACCGGUGGCGAAGGCGGCAUCCUGGACCAACACUGACGCUGAGGCGCGAAAGCUAGGGG